rnacentral:rRNA from 1 species
AUUGAACGCUGGCGGCAGGCCUAACACAUGCCAGUCGAACGGUAACAGGAAACAGCUUGCUGUUUCGCUGACGAGUGGCGGACGGGUGAGUAAUGUCUGGGAAACUGCCUGAUGGAGGGGGAUAACUACUGGAAACGGUAGCUAAUACCGCAUAACGUCGCAAGACCAAAGAGGGGGACCCUCGGGCCUCUUGCCAUAGGAUGUGCCCAGAUGGGAUUAGCUUGUUGGUGGGGUAACGGCUCACCAAGGCGACGAUCCCUAGCUGGUCUGAGAGGAUGACCAGCCACACUGGAACUGAGACACGGUCCAGACUCCUACGGGAGGCAGCAGUGGGGAAUAUUGCACAAUGGGCGCAAGCCUGAUGCAGCCAUGCCGCGUGUAUGAAGAAGGCCUUCGGGUUGUAAAGUACUUUCAGCGGGGAGGAAGGGAGUAAAGUUAAUACCUUUGCUCAUUGACGUUACCCGCAGAAGAAGCACCGGCUAACUCCGUG